AACCGAAUGCUCAAAAACACUCCCAAACAUGUUCUAGGGUAUAAUUAUGAAGAUUGCAUGCGUUCGUUGCGAAAAAAUCCACCCAAGUUUCGCUACCCGGAAAUAGUGCAUUCGGGUGCCGAAAUGCACCCGUUUUGCAUCAUUUUUCGUUCCGGAACCCAAUACUCAAAAACACUCCCAAACAUGUUCUAGGGUAUAAUUAUGAAGAUUGCAUGCGUUCGUUGCGA
rnacentral:lncRNA from 1 species